rnacentral:lncRNA from 1 species
CUGCUGAAUAGCAUGUGAGUGGAAGGCAGGACACUGCAGGAUGAUAAACAGACAUGAUCUGUUUGAAAAAUACUGCUGAAAUUCGAAUACAUCAAAGAUGAAAUCAAAAACCUCCAAAAGAAAGGCUUAUCAUCAUUGUGUGCUGAAUCACACUAUAAACAUGGACUUUGAAACAUCUUUUUCUGAAACUUAGAGGGACUCAGAGCAGCACAAGUAUUUUGUCUCAGUGGAAAUUAUGGAACUGCAGGUUAAGCAGCUCUAUGAAGUUCUGGAUCCCUUCUGAAAACCAGCUCCCA